rnacentral:sRNA from 1 species
ACCAGGUGUGGUGGUGCACACCUGUAAUCCCAGUGACUCGGGAGGCUGAGGUAGGAGGAUUACAAGCUUGAGACCAGCCUCAG